rnacentral:rRNA from 1 species
GAUGAACGCUAGCUACAGGCUUAACACAUGCAAGUCGAGGGGCAGCAUGGUCUUAGCUUGCUAAGGCCGAUGGCGACCGGCGCACGGGUGAGUAACACGUAUCCAACCUGCCGUCUACUCUUGGACAGCCUUCUGAAAGGAAGAUUAAUACAAGAUGGCAUCAUGAGUCCGCAUGUUCACAUGAUUAAAGGUAUUCCGGUAGACGAUGGGGAUGCGUUCCAUUAGAUAGUAGGCGGGGUAACGGCCCACCUAGUCUUCGAUGGAUAGGGGUUCUGAGAGGAAGGUCCCCCACAUUGGAACUGAGACACGGUCCAAACUCCUACGGGAGGCAGCAGUGAGGAAUAUUGGUCAAUGGGCGAGAGCCUGAACCAGCCAAGUAGCGUGAAGGAUGACUGCCCUAUGGGUUGUAAACUUCUUUUAUAAAGGAAUAAAGUCGGGUAUGGAUACCCGUUUGCAUGUACUUUAUGAAUAAGGAUCGGCUAACUCCGUGCCAGCAGCCGCGGUAAUACGGAGGAUCCGAGCGUUAUCCGGAUUUAUUGGGUUUAAAGGGAGCGUAGAUGGAUGUUUAAGUCAGUUGUGAAAGUUUGCGGCUCAACCGUAAAAUUGCAGUUGAUACUGGAUAUCUUGAGUGCAGUUGAGGCAGGCGGAAUUCGUGGUGUAGCGGUGAAAUGCUUAGAUAUCACGAAGAACUCCGAUUGCGAAGGCAGCCUGCUAAGCUGCAACUGACAUUGAGGCUCGAAAGUGUGGGUAUCAAACAGGAUUAGAUACCCUGGUAGUCCACACGGUAAACGAUGAAUACUCGCUGUUUGCGAUAUACUGCAAGCGGCCAAGCGAAAGCGUUAAGUAUUCCACCUGGGGAGUACGCCGGCAACGGUGAAACUCAAAGGAAUUGACGGGGGCCCGCACAAGCGGAGGAACAUGUGGUUUAAUUCGAUGAUACGCGAGGAACCUUACCCGGGCUUAAAUUGCAGAUGAAUUACGGUGAAAGCCGUAAGCCGCAAGGCAUCUGUGAAGGUGCUGCAUGGUUGUCGUCAGCUCGUGCCGUGAGGUGUCGGCUUAAGUGCCAUAACGAGCGCAACCCUUGUUGUCAGUUACUAACAGGUUCCGCUGAGGACUCUGACAAGACUGCCAUCGUAAGAUGUGAGGAAGGUGGAGAUGACGUCAAAUCAGCACGGCCCUUACGUCCGGGGCUACACACGUGUUACAAUGGGGGGUACAGAGGGCCGCUACCACGCGAGUGGAUGCCAAUCCCCAAAACCUCUCUCAGUUCGGACUGGAGUCUGCAACCCGACUCCACGAAGCUGGAUUCGCUAGUAAUCGCGCAUUCAGCCACGGCGCGGUAAAUACGUUUCCCGGGCC